rnacentral:rRNA from 1 species
AACGAACGCUGGCGGCAUGCCUAACACAUGCAAGUCGAACGAGACCUUCGGGUCUUGUGGCGCCCGGGUGCGUAACGCGUGGGAACCUGCCCUUAGGUUUGGAAUAACUCCCCGACAGGGAUGAUAAUACCGGACAAUGUCUUCGGCCCAAAGAUUUAUCGCCCUUGGUUGGGCCCGCGUUGGAUUAGCUAGUGGGUAGGGUAAAAGCCUACCAAGGCGACGAUCCAUAGCUGGUUUGAGAGGAUGGUCAGCCACACUGGGACUGAGACGCGGCCCGGAAUCCUACGGGAGGCGGCAGUGGGGAAUGUUGGACAAUGGGCUAAGGCAUGAUCCAGCAAUGCCGGGUAAGUGAUGAAAGCCGGAGGGUUGUAAAGCUCUUUUACCCGGGAUGAUAAUGACGGUACCGGGAGAAUAAGCCCCGGCUAACUCCGUG